CCACCCCAAGGCCUCUCACGCGCGUCGCCGCUGCCAUCGCCGUUCCCGAUCUUGGCAUCGCGAGAUCGCGUUCCCGCUGUCUCCACCUCGUCCGCAGUCUCCGGUCACUGGGGUUUGAGUUACUGGCAGUUUCAGCUAGACAAUAAUCAUGAGUCUUGCUUGUCUCGUAUGCCAUGGCAUGAACAGCCCCUCACACUCUCUUAGAAGCUACUCGGUGUCGAGUUCAGAGGAGGACAACCGAUGCGGAGCUGUUGUUUCCUGCUUAACUCGGAGAGUAAUGCCGACUGGAUCUGCUAGUGUUGGGACAUCAAAGGUGACCCCCUUUCCAUCCAUAGCGGCUGGUCAAGGCACCGAGGGCACUCCUCGCCUUCAACGAAGCCGUGCUGUGUCCAGGGACCUUGUCAGAGACUGGAACUUUGAUGAAGCCGUCGUUGCAAACUAGAUUAGGCGUCAGCUGUUCCCAGUUGGAUUCUGCACUCGUACUUGUUCAGGAGACUCCAUCAAUUUGGUGUACAUUUUUUUGCUAGUAUACGCUAUGUCUAUCAGUACUUUUCAGUUGGGACUCUUAUCGGUCUAUGCUCAAGAGUGAUGGCACUUCUCACGAGCAGUUUGUGGCUUGGUAACAUAUGAAGGCCAACCUGUGUAGUUAGAAUAAAUUUUAGGGUAUUUUUCCUAUUUCUAAAAGUGGAUAUGCUAUCCUGUAAUUCCUGUAUAUUAUGAAAUAUCUAAUUUUCUAUAAUUGCUGGGAAAAUGGCCACUGGGAUUUUCA
rnacentral:rRNA from 1 species